rnacentral:rRNA from 1 species
GGUUAAGCGACUAAGCGUACACGGUGGAUGCCCUGGCAGUCAGAGGCGAUGAAGGGCGUGCUAAUCUGCGAUAAGCGCCGGUAAGGUGAUAUGAACCGUUAUAACCGGCGAUACCCGAAUGGGGAAACCCAGUGUGACUCGUCACACUAUCAUUAACUGAAUCCAUAGGUUAAUGAGGCGAACCGGGGGAACUGAAACAUCUAAGUACCCCGAGGAAAAGAAAUCAACCGAGAUUCCCCCAGUAGCGGCGAGCGAACGGGGAGGAGCCCAGAGCCUGAAUCAGCAUGUGUGUUAGUGGAAGCGUCUGGAAAGGCGCGCGAUACAGGGUGACAGCCCCGUACACAAAAGCGCAUGUGCUGUGAGCUCGAUGAGUAGGGCGGGACACGUGGUAUCCUGUCUGAAUAUGGGGGGACCAUCCUCCAAGGCUAAAUACUCCUGACUGACCGAUAGUGAACCAGUACCGUGAGGGAAAGGCGAAAAGAACCCCGGCGAGGGGAGUGAAAAAGAACCUGAAACCGUGUACGUACAAGCAGUGGGAGCCCCACCACCAAAGCAUUCUCUGGUGUUGAAGGCCCUGCAAAGCAGCAUCGCGGUGGCGGAGCGUCGUUUGCGACGCCCAACACACAAAACAAGCGGUGAGUGCUUUGGGGUGGGGUGACUGCGUACCUUUUGUAUAAUGGGUCAGCGACUUAUAUUCUGUAGCAAGGUUAACCGAAUAGGGGAGCCGGAGGGAAACCGAGUCUUAAUUGGGCGUUAAGUUGCAGGGUAUAGACCCGAAACCCGGUGAUCUAGCCAUGGGCAGGUUGAAGGUUGGGUAACACUAACUGGAGGACCGAACCGACUAAUGUUGAAAAAUUAGCGGAUGACCUGUGGCUGGGGGUGAAAGGCCAAUCAAACCGGGAGAUAGCUGGUUCUCCCCGAAAGCUAUUUAGGUAGCGCCUCGUGAAUUCAUCUCCGGGGGUAGAGCACUGUUUCGGCUAGGGGGCCAUCCCGGCUUACCAACCCGAUGCAAACUGCGAAUACCGGAGAAUGUUAUCACGGGAGACACACGGCGGGUGCUAACGUCCGUCGUGAAGAGGGAAACAACCCAGACCGCCAGCUAAGGUCCCAAAGUCAUGGUUAAGUGGGAAACGAUGUGGGAAGGCCCAGACAGCCAGGAUGUUGGCUUAGAAGCAGCCAUCAUUUAAAGAAAGCGUAAUAGCUCACUGGUCGAGUCGGCCUGCGCGGAAGAUGUAACGGGGCUAAACCAUGCACCGAAGCUGCGGCAGCGACACUCAGGUGUUGUUGGGUAGGGGAGCGUUCUGUAAGCCUGUGAAGGUGGCCUGUGAGGGUUGCUGGAGGUAUCAGAAGUGCGAAUGCUGACAUAAGUAACGAUAAAGCGGGUGAAAAGCCCGCUCGCCGGAAGACCAAGGGUUCCUGUCCAACGUUAAUCGGGGCAGGGUGAGUCGACCCCUAAGGCGAGGCCGAAAGGCGUAGUCGAUGGGAAACGGGUUAAUAUUCCCGUACUUGGUGUUACUGCGAAGGGGGGACGGAGAAGGCUAUGUUGGCCGGGCGACGGUUGUCCCGGUUUAAGCGUGUAGGUGUGUGUUCCAGGUAAAUCCGGUUCACUUUAACACUGAGGCGUGACGACGAGGCACUACGGUGCUGAAGCAACAAAUGCCCUGCUUCCAGGAAAAGCCUCUAAGCAUCAGGUAACAUCAAAUCGUACCCCAAACCGACACAGGUGGUCAGGUAGAGAAUACCAAGGCGCUUGAGAGAACUCGGGUGAAGGAACUAGGCAAAAUGGUGCCGUAACUUCGGGAGAAGGCACGCUGACACGUAGGUGAAGUGAUUUACUCAUGGAGCUGAAGUCAGUCGAAGAUACCAGCUGGCUGCAACUGUUUAUUAAAAACACAGCACUGUGCAAACACGAAAGUGGACGUAUACGGUGUGACGCCUGCCCGGUGCCGGAAGGUUAAUUGAUGGGGUCAGCGCAAGCGAAGCUCCUGAUCGAAGCCCCGGUAAACGGCGGCCGUAACUAUAACGGUCCUAAGGUAGCGAAAUUCCUUGUCGGGUAAGUUCCGACCUGCACGAAUGGCGUAAUGAUGGCCAGGCUGUCUCCACCCGAGACUCAGUGAAAUUGAACUCGCUGUGAAGAUGCAGUGUACCCGCGGCAAGACGGAAAGACCCCGUGAACCUUUACUAUAGCUUGACACUGAACAUUGAGCCUUGAUGUGUAGGAUAGGUGGGAGGCUUUGAAGUGUGGACGCCAGUCUGCAUGGAGCCGACCUUGAAAUACCACCCUUUAAUGUUUGAUGUUCUAACGUGGACCCGUAAUCCGGGUUGCGGACAGUGUCUGGUGGGUAGUUUGACUGGGGCGGUCUCCUCCUAAAGAGUAACGGAGGAGCACGAAGGUUGGCUAAUCCUGGUCGGACAUCAGGAGGUUAGUGCAAUGGCAUAAGCCAGCUUGACUGCGAGCGUGACGGCGCGAGCAGGUGCGAAAGCAGGUCAUAGUGAUCCGGUGGUUCUGAAUGGAAGGGCCAUCGCUCAACGGAUAAAAGGUACUCCGGGGAUAACAGGCUGAUACCGCCCAAGAGUUCAUAUCGACGGCGGUGUUUGGCACCUCGAUGUCGGCUCAUCACAUCCUGGGGCUGAAGUAGGUCCCAAGGGUAUGGCUGUUCGCCAUUUAAAGUGGUACGCGAGCUGGGUUUAGAACGUCGUGAGACAGUUCGGUCCCUAUCUGCCGUGGGCGCUGGAGAACUGAGGGGGGCUGCUCCUAGUACGAGAGGACCGGAGUGGACGCAUCACUGGUGUUCGGGUUGUCAUGCCAAUGGCACUGCCCGGUAGCUAAAUGCGGAAGAGAUAAGUGCUGAAAGCAUCUAAGCACGAAACUUGCCCCGAGAUGAGUUCUCCCUGAGACUUAGAGUCUCCUGAAGGAACGUUGAAGACGACGACGUUGAUAGGCCGGGUGUGUAAGCGCAGCGAUGCGUUGAGCUAACCGGUACUAAUGAACCGUGAGGCUUAACCUU